GAUGAACGCUGGCGGCGUGCUUAACACAUGCAAGUCGAGCGAGUGAGUUCUUCGGAACGAUCUAGCGGCGGACGGGUGAGUAACACGUGGGCACCCUGACUCAUAGAGGGAAAUAGCCUCCCGAAAGGGAGAUUAAUACCGCAUAAAAUUAUCGAGUGGCAUCACAUGAUAAUCAAAGGAGUAAUCCGCUAUGAGAUGGGCCUGCGGCGCAUUAGCUAGUUGGUGAGGUAACGGCUCACCAAGGCGACGAUGCGUAGCCGACCUGAGAGGGUGAUCGGCCACAUUGGGACUGAGACACGGCCCAGACUCCUACGGGAGGCAGCAGUGGGGAAUAUUGCGCAAUGGGGGAAACCCUGAUGCAGCAACGCCGCGUGAGUGAUGAAGGUCUUCGGAUUGUAAAGCUCUGUCUUUGGGGACGAUAAUGACGGUACCCAAGGAGGAAGCCACGGCUAACUACGUGCCAGCAGCCGCCGUAA
rnacentral:rRNA from 1 species